rnacentral:rRNA from 1 species
GGCGAACGCUGGCGGCGUGCUUAACACAUGCAAGUCGAACGGAAAGGCCCCUUUGGGGGUACUCGAGUGGCGAACGGGUGAGUAACACGUGAGUAACCUGCCCUUGACUUCGGGAUAACUUCAGGAAACUGGGGCUAAUACCGGAUAGGAAUCCUUGCUGCAUGGUGGGGGUUGGAAAGCUUCGGCGGUUUUGGAUGGACUCGCGGCUUAUCAGCUUGUUGGUGGGGUAGUGGCUUACCAAGGCUUUGACGGGUAGCCGGCCUGAGAGGGCGACCGGCCACAUUGGGACUGAGAUACGGCCCAGACUCCUACGGGAGGCAGCAGUGGGGAAUAUUGCACAAUGGGCGGAAGCCUGAUGCAGCAACGCCGCGUGCGGGAUGACGGCCUUCGGGUUGUAAACCGCUUUCAGCAGGGGCGAAGCUUUUGUGACGGUACCUGCAGAAGAAGCACCGGCUAACUACGUG